AUUGCUUCUCAGCCUUUUGGCUAAGAUCAAGUGUAGUACCCAAACCUGUAUUCUAAAUAUUUUUCUGCAUGUGUGUUGCAUUUAAUGAUUUUUUAGCAGUUAAAGUUAAUAGACAUGUUUCUCUAAGCAUAACUUUUAGGUGCAGUGAAGUUAGUAUCUGAAAGGUAUGGAUGU
rnacentral:snRNA from 1 species